GAUGAACGCUGGCGGCGUGCCUAAUACAUGCAAGUCGAGCGAACAGAUGAGGAGCUUGCUCCUCCGACGUUAGCGGCGGACGGGUGAGUAACACGUGGAUAACCUACCUAUAAGACUGGGAUAACUUCGGGAAACCGGAGCUAAUACCGGAUAAUAUAUUGAACCGCAUGGUUCAAUAGUGAAAGACGGUUUUGCUGUCACUUAUAGAUGGAUCCGCGCCGCAUUAGCUAGUUGGUAAGGUAACGGCUUACCAAGGCGACGAUGCGUACCCGACCUGAAAGGGUGAACGGCCACACGGUAACUGAGACACGGUCCAGACACCGACGGGAGGCAGCGGUAGGGAAUCUUCCGCGAUGGGGGAAAGCGGGACGGAGCAACGCCGCGGGAGGGAUGAAGGUCUUCUGAUCGGAAAACGCUGUUAUUAGUGAAGAACAAAUGUGUAAGUAACUAUGCACGUCUUGACGGUACCUGAUCAGAAAGCCACGGCUAACUACGUG
rnacentral:rRNA from 1 species